ACGGAAGGCAGCAGUGGGGAAUAUUGGACAAUGGGCGAAAGCCUGAUCCAGCGACGCCGCGUGAGUGAAGAAGUAUUUCGGUAUGUAAAGCUCUAUCAGCAGGGAAGAUAAUGACGGUACCUGACUAAGAAGCCCCGGCUAACUACGUGCCAGCAGCCGCGGUAAUACGUAGGGGGCAAGCGUUAUCCGGAUUUACUGGGUGUAAAGGGAGCGUAGACGGCUUUGCAAGUCUGAAGUGAAAGCCCGGGGCUCAACCCCGGAACUGCUUUGGAAACUGUAGAGCUAGAGUACAGGAGAGGUAAGCGGAAUUCCUAGUGUAGCGGUGAAAUGCGUAGAUAUUAGGAGGAACACCAGUGGCGAAGGCGGCUUACUGGACUGUAACUGACGUUGAGGCUCGAAAGCGUGGGGAGCAAACAGGAUUAGAUACCCUGGUA
rnacentral:rRNA from 1 species